rnacentral:sRNA from 21 species
CGUCGCUGCCGGCUCCGUGGGCCGGCAGACCGCGGCUCUCAGCCGCGGACCGAAGAGCAACAAGUGGCCGCCUUCCCCUCUCGACCCGAAGGCAGGCCUAGAAGAAAUUUCGGAAGUACGGGCCUCCAGGAAUGGAGGUCGCAUUCU